rnacentral:rRNA from 2 species
GAUUAGAAGCUUGCUUCUAUGACGUUAGCGGCGGACGGGUGAGUAACACGUGGGCAACCUGCCUGUAAGACUGGGAUAACUUCGGGAAACCGAAGCUAAUACCGGAUAGGAUCUUCUCCUUCAUGGGAGAUGAUUGAAAGAUGGUUUCGGCUAUCACUUACAGAUGGGCCCGCGGUGCAUUAGCUAGUUUGGUGAGGUAACGGCUCACCAAGGCAACGAUGCAUAGCCGACCUGAGAGGGUGAUCGGCCACACUGGGACUGAGACACGGCCCAGACUCCUACGGGAGGCAGCAGGUAGGGAAUCUUCCGCAAUGGACGAAAGUCUGACGGAGCAACGCCGCGUGAGUGAUGAAGGCUUUCGGGUCGUAAAACUCUGUUGUUAGGGAAGAACAAGUACGAGGAGUAACUGCUCGUACCUUGACGGUACCUAACCAGAAAGCCACGGCUAACUACGUGCCAGCAGCCGCGGUAAUACGUAGGUGGCAAGCGUUAUCCGGAAUUAUUGGGCGUAAAGCGCGCGCAGGCGGUUUCUUAAGUCUGAUGUGAAAGCCCACGGCUCACCGUGGAGGGUCAUUGGAAACUGGGGAACUUGAGUGCAGAAGAGAAGAGGCGGAAUUCCACGUGUAGCGGUGAAAUGCGUAGAGAUGUGGAGGAACACCAGUGGCGAAAGCGGCUUUUUGGUCUGUAACUGACGCUGAGGCGCGAAAGCGUGGGGGAGCAACAGGAUUAGAUACCCUGGUAGUCCACGCCGUAACGAUGAGUGCUAAGUGUUAGAGGGUUUCCGCCCUUUAGUGCU